rnacentral:rRNA from 1 species
AGAGUUUGAUCAUGGCUCAGAUUGAACGCUGGCGGCAGGCCUAACACAUGCAAGUCGAACGGUAACAGGAAACAGCUUGCUGUUUCGCUGACGAGUGGCGGACGGGUGAGUAAUGUCUGGGAAACUGCCUGAUGGAGGGGGAUAACUACUGGAAACGGUAGCUAAUACCGCAUAACGUCGCAAGACCAAAGAGGGGGACCUUCGGGCCUCUUGCCAUCAGAUGUGCCCAGAUGGGAUUAGCUAGUAGGUGGGGUAACGGCUCACCUAGGCGACGAUCCCUAGCUGGUCUGAGAGGAUGACCAGCCACACUGGAACUGAGACACGGUCCAGACUCCUACGGGAGGCAGCAGUGGGGAAUAUUGCACAAUGGGCGCAAGCCUGAUGCAGCCAUGCCGCGUGUAUGAAGAAGGCCUUCGGGUUGUAAAGUACUUUCAGCGGGGAGGAAGGGAGUAAAGUUAAUACCUUUGCUCAUUGACGUUACCCGCAGAAGAAGCACCGGCUAACUCCGUGCCAGCAGCCGCGGUAAUACGGAGGGUGCAAGCGUUAAUCGGAAUUACUGGGCGUAAAGCGCACGCAGGCGGUUUGUUAAGUCAGAUGUGAAAUCCCCGGGCUCAACCUGGGAACUGCAUCUGAUACUGGCAAGCUUGAGUCUCGUAGAGGGGGGUAGAAUUCCAGGUGUAGCGGUGAAAUGCGUAGAGAUCUGGAGGAAUGCCGGUGGCGAAGGCGGCCCCCUGGACGAAGACUGACGCUCAGGUGCGAAAGCGUGGGGAGCAAACAGGAUUAGAUACCCUGGUAGUCCACGCCGUAAACGAUGUCGACUUGGAGGUUGUGCCCUUGAGGCGUGGCUUCCGGAGCUAACGCGUUAAGUCGACCGCCUGGGGAGUACGGCCGCAAGGUUAAAACUCAAAUGAAUUGACGGGGGCCCGCACAAGCGGUGGAGCAUGUGGUUUAAUUCGAUGCAACGCGAAGAACCUUACCUGGUCUUGACAUCCACGGAAGUUUUCAGAGAUGAGAAUGUGCCUUCGGGAACCGUGAGACAGGUGCUGCAUGGCUGUCGUCAGCUCGUGUUGUGAAAUGUUGGGUUAAGUCCCGCAACGAGCGCAACCCUUAUCCUUUGUUGCCAGCGGUCCGGCCGGGAACUCAAAGGAGACUGCCAGUGAUAAACUGGAGGAAGGUGGGGAUGACGUCAAGUCAUCAUGGCCCUUACGACCAGGGCUACACACGUGCUACAAUGGCGCAUACAAAGAGAAGCGACCUCGCGAGAGCAAGCGGACCUCAUAAAGUGCGUCGUAGUCCGGAUUGGAGUCUGCAACUCGACUCCAUGAAGUCGGAAUCGCUAGCAAUCGUGGAUCAGAAUGCCACGGUGAAUACGUUCCCGGGCCUUGUACACACCGCCCGUCACACCAUGGGAGUGGGUUGCAAAAGAAGUAGGUAGCUUAACCUUCGGGAGGGCGCUUACCACUUUGUGAUUCAUGACUGGGGUGAAGUCGUAACAAGGCAACCGUAGGGGAACCUGCGGUUG